GCCCCUGUAGCUCAACGGAUAGAGCAGCGGCGUCCUAAGCUGAAGAUGUCAGUCCAAUUCUGGCCAGGGGCACAA
rnacentral:tRNA from 4 species